GACGUAGGAGGCGAGCGUUGUCCGGAUUCAUUGGGCGUAAAGAGCACGCAGGCGGUUCGUCGCGUCGGCUGUGAAAUCCCGAGGCUCAACCUCGGGUCUGCAGUCGAUACGGGCGGACUGGAGUUCGGCAGGGGAGACUGGAAUUCCUGGUGUAGCGGUGAAAUGCGCAGAUAUCAGGAGGAACACCGGUGGCGAAGGCGGGUCUCUGGGCCGAUACUGACGCUGAGGAGCGAAAGCGUGGGGAGCGAACAGG
rnacentral:rRNA from 1 species